rnacentral:rRNA from 1 species
GACGGGGGAUGCAAGUGUUAUCCGGAAUCACUGGGCGUAAAGCGUGCGUAGGCGGCGUGUUAAGUGAGAUGCGAAAUCUUGUGGCUCAACCAUAUAGACUGUGUCUCAUACUGGCAUGCUAGAGAAUGGCAGAGGCGAGUGGAAUUACCGGUGUAGCAGUGAAAUGCGUAGAGAUCGGAAGGAACACCAGUGGCGAAAGCGGCUUCCUGGUCCGACACCGACGUUCAGGCACGAAAGCGUGGGGAGCAAACAGG